CAGUAGCCGCGGGAAUACGUAGGGUGCAAGCGUUAAUCGGAAUUACUGGGCGUAAAGCGUGCGCAGGCGGUUAUAUAAGACAGAUGUGAAAUCCCCGGGCUCAACCUGGGAACUGCAUUUGUGACUGUAUAGCUAGAGUACGGCAGAGGGAGAUGGAAUUCCGCGUGUAGCAGUGAAAUGCGUAGAUAUGCGGAGGAACACCGAUGGCGAAGGCAAUCCCCUGGGCCUGUACUGACACUGAGGCACGAAAGCGUGGGGAGCAAACAGGAUUAGAGACCCCCGUAGUCCCUGUCUCUUAUAC
rnacentral:rRNA from 1 species